UGCUGUCGUUGCAGUCGGUGUUGAUCAUCAUGAUCAUCCUCAUCAUCAUCAUGGUGGUCAUGGAGAAGAUCAUCAUCAUCAUCAUCAUCAUCAUCA
rnacentral:miRNA from 1 species